GAACAUGAAAAUCCUUCACGGUCUUUAUUGUGGAGGAAGGCACAUCAAAACAAAAAUGGAGAAUACGAUGAUGAUGAUGUUAGGGAAAAGGCAGCACAUCUUGAGGAGUUUGAUAAGCAGCUGAAAGAUGGAACUUUGACGAAAAAACCAGGCACUGAGAGUUCCAUAUAUUGAUGUUAAUAUAAUAUAUCUGUUUGCAGUCUGGAAAAUGCAAACAAAAGUCUCUUGCAUCUGAGCGUCUGCCCCUUAAAUCUCCGGACGAAUCUCAACUAAAAGACCUGACAGAACUUUCAACGAUUGGCAAAUACAAAAUGGCUCAUGCUUCACUGAGAAACGUCAUUGUAAUGGGUAUUGUUAUUCCAUCGGAGCCAGGUCAGUUAGUACAUGGAGAUCCACUCAAGGAUAAUUGUGUCAGAGUGUCUGUUGAAAAAUCGAUAUUAAAGAAUCAUUAUUUGCCAGUCCCAUAUACUCAUCUCAAAACAGUAGAGGAUGCUAAAGGAUCUGUUGUAUCUUGUCCCAAAGAGUUUGUGAUUUGUUUCUCUACUGGCCUGCCACUUUCAGACCCUGAUGAACAUGAUGCUGACCCACACGCUAAGAAGAGAAAGAAGAAGAAACCUUCAUAUACAACGAGCGGGGAG